GUAGCAUCCCAUUUAUUACAUAAAUAAAAAAAACACUAAGCACCACUUCCCUCUGUGGGCAAAAGAAAAAAUAAAUACACUAUAGGAAUUCUCUGUGCUUGCAGCCUGUCAUUCAAGUAUGGACAAACCAUGUGUAACUGAAACAUCCAUAUUAUCUUGGGUUCCAAGAGCAUUUUUUUUUUUUUUUUUCCUGUCUGGUUUUCUUCAAACCACAAAACAUUUACAGAAC